UACGUAUGGGGCGAGCGUUGUCCGGAUUUAUUGGGCGUAAAGAGCUCGUUGGCGGUUUGGCAAGUCGGGUGUGAAAACUCCGGGCUCAACUCGGAGACGCCACUCGAUACUGCUAUGACUCGAGUCCGGUAGGGGAGUGCGGAAUUCCUGGUGUAGCGGUGAAAUGCGCAGAUAUCAGGAGGAACACCGGUGGCGAAGGCGGCACUCUGGGCCGGUACUGACGCUGAGGAGCGAAAGCGUGGGGAGCGAACAGG
rnacentral:rRNA from 1 species